UCUGGUUGAUCCUGCCAGUAGUCAUAUGCUUGUCUCAAAGAUUAAGCCAUGCAUGUCUAAGUCCAAGCUGUGUUUACACGGCGAGACCGCGGACGGCUCAUUAAAACAGUCGUGGUCCACAUGGGCCAGUCCUUGCUUACUUGGAUAACUGUGGUAAUUCCAGAGCUAAUACAUGCAACAAUGCUCCGAUGAAGGGCCGAGUUCGGUGCUUGUCACUGUUCGCGUGUUCCCUACUGACGGGUGCUUUUAUUAGACCAAGCUACCGAGGGUCUUGGCUUCGGGCGUGAAGCGUGCGUUCGCGUGCGUGUCCGUUGCCAUCAAAGACUUUGCUCACAGUGUGGUGACUCUGGAUAACCAUCAUGACAAGCGCACGUAUCCUCUCGAGGGACGGCGCUGCCACUUUCGAGUGUCUGACCUAUCAGCUGUCAAUCGCUCGUUACACGCGACCGAUGGCUUUGACGGGUAACGGGGAAUCAGGGUUCGAUUCCGGAGAGGCAGCCUGAGAGACGGCUACCACGUCCAAGGACGGCAGCAGGCACGCAAAUUACCCAAUCCCAGCUCCUGGGGGAGGUAGUGACGAAAUCUAACGAUGCGGGCGCCCUACAUGGGCCCCGCAAUCGGAAUGAGCACUUUCUAAACAACCUGUUGAGAACCUACUGAAGGGCAAGUCUGGUGCCAGCAGCCGCGGUAAUUCCAGCUUCAGUAGCAUCUAUUAAAGUUGCUGCGGUUAAAAGGCUCGCAGUUGAAUUUCAGUGCCGGGUGUCGAUUGGUGGACGUUGGAGAGCGAGAUCAAAGGUCGUAGUGUCGGCGGCGUCCGCGUCGUCGCGCUUCGGUCUCUCGCACCCUCCCGUCCGUAACAAGCCUUCGUACCCGAGUACACAGUGGCGAGCUUAUGGGUGCGCGCGUGUUUUCGUUGCGCUCCGGCGUAUGCGUUGACUCCCGCACUUGGUUCGCCGGUGUCACCCUGAGUAAAUCAGAGUGCUCAAAGCAGUCGUGAGGGGCGCCUCGUGCGUCCCGUGAAAAGUCUUGACGGAUCGUCUUGAUUUUGCAUGGCAUGUUGGAAGAUGAUGUCGAGCGCUGGCCAGGAGCAAUCACUUGGUGGUGACGGCCAGCCUCGACGUAAUGAUUAAAAGGGCUUGUCGAGGGCAUUGGUAUUGCGGAGCGAGAGGUGAAAUUCUAUGACCUUCGCAAGACCUCCCGAAGCGAAAGCGUCUGCCAAGGAUGUUUUCAUUAAUCAUGAACGAAAGUUAGAGGAUCGAAGGCGAUCAGAUACCGCCCUAGUUCUAACCCUAAACGAUGCCAACCAUCAAUCCGCCUGAGCUCUCUCUUGUCGGGCUCGGCGGGCAGCUACUCACUCACGGGAAACCAGAGUCUCUGGGUUCCGGGGGGAGUCUGGUUGCAAAGCUGAAACUUAAAGGAAUUGACGGAAAGGCACCACCAGGCGUGGAGCCUGCGGCUUAAUUUGACUCAACACGGGCCAUCUCACCAGGCCAGCACUCUAGCAUGAUUGACAGAUUGAGAGCUCUUUCUCGAUUCAGUGGAUGGUGGUGCAUGGCCGUUCUUAGUUGGUGGAGUGAUCUGUCUGGUUAAUUCCGAUAACGAACGAGACUCUCCCCUGCUAACUAGUCGGUUGGAUCUUGAACUGUGAGUGGUACUAAGCCCCGAUGGUGUCGCCUUGCUCGUUCCUCUCCUGUCGCGCGUUGUUCGGUUCUGUGUGGGCGUGUGUGUGCGGUGUGCUUUCGGGUAUGUCGUUGCGCGCCGUCUCGCAGUCUCUCGGGCUUCACGUUGGCGUUGAGUGCGCGUGUUUGGUUGUAUGCCUCGGGUAGCACGCUCCUAGUCCGCCGUCUUUACAAAUUCUUCUUAGAGGGAUCCACGGCUCUGAAGCCGUCAGAGACUGAGAGCAAUAACAGGUCUGUGAUGCCCUUAGAUGCUCUGGGCCGCACGCGCGCUACAAUGCUGGGCACAGCAGGUGUCUUUCCUACUCCGAGAGGAGUGGGUAACCCUCUGAAAGCCCGUUUUGCUUUGUUGGCCCGUCUCGCUGUAGUUGACGUAGGUCUCUGCAUAUGCGAUCGGGCCUAGCGUGCUUGGGCCUGGGGCUUGCAAUUUUUCCCCACAAACGAGGAAUGCCUAGUAGCGGUGGGUCACUGAGCCCACCGUGACUCAGUCCCUGCCCUUUGUACACACCGCCCGUCGCUACUACCGAUUGGGUGUUCCAGUGAGAGCCUUGGACAGGCGGCCGUUGCCUUCCUUUCGAGGAAAGCAUGCGGCUCGACUGAAAGAGGUCCGAACUGGUGCACUUAGAGGAAGUAAAAGUCGUAACAAGGUUUCCGUAGGUGAACCUGCGGAAGGAUCAUUAA
rnacentral:rRNA from 1 species